rfam:Pan troglodytes isolate Yerkes chimp pedigree #C0471 (Clint) chromosome X, whole genome shotgun sequence.
GCCAGGCGUGGUGGCGUACACCUGUAAUCCCAGCUACUUAGGAGGCUGAGGCAGAAGAAUCGCUUGAACCGGGGAGGCGGAGGUUGCAGUGAGCCGAGAUUGCACCACUGCACCCCAGCCUGGGUGACAGAGCGAGACUCUGUCUCAA